rnacentral:lncRNA from 1 species
GCUUUACUGAGCCAUUGCAGCAUCAUCUGCCUGAGCAAGGGAGUUCCAGUUAAAUGUCUUCUCUCUACCUGACUUUGUCUUGUUCUCUGUUCCAGCAGCGGCUGCAGGAAGCGCAUCUCUGAGAACUUGGCGCUGAGUGAUGAAGGCAAGACAAAGACCAUAGAGCCAUUUGGUGCAUCCCUGCCGCUGUCACUCCAUAUCCUGGACUUGCAGUGAAAGGAGUUUGAAGCCUCCGUCCUAGAUGCGCAUCCGUUUGGGAUGCUUCUCUCAUUGAAGGAGAGCAGACGUCUCAAAUAAAUGGAUGGCUUAAUGGACCGUCUUGCUGGGCCCUACGUAAGGACAGCGGUCAGAGACUAAACUGGGAGCAGGGUCAGGUGGAGAAAGUGGCAUCACCAGCUGUCACCAGGCCUUGAAGGCAUCCAGAUCUGGAAAGGCCCCAGGCAUUCAGAUCCAAUAGGAAAAACCAUGGAUGAUCCAAAGUAGUGAUGACCUCACCCCAUCCAGAUAGCCGUCCACAUGGAGGAAAGAGUCCAGAGCAAAAAGGCCCUGCUCCUCCCAUCAUGGUCUGCCCUAUAUAUCAUCCUGUCCAGAAGCUCUACGCCAUAAUGGUGUGAAAGAGGCUUUGCUUUGGAGCCAAGCCCAGCAGAGUUUCAAUUUUGGAUUCUCUGGAUCACUACAAGAACGAACAAGGACAUGCUGGGGACCCUCCAUGGACCCCAGUUUCCUCACCUAUAAACUGGAGAUAAUAACACACACGCCGCAUCAUGGGGUUACAUAAGUGUUUAAUACAAUGGCUGGCACAUAGUAGGAAAUCAAUAAACACUUGUUCCCACUCUAUCUUCA